GGCGAACGCUGGCGGCGUGCCUAAUACAUGCAAGUUGAGCGAUGAAGAUUGGUGCUUGCACCAAUUUGAAGAGCAGCGAACGGGUGAGUAACGCGUGGGUAAUCUGCCUUUGAGCGGGGGACAACAUUUGGAAACGAAUGCUAAUACCGCAUAAUAACUUUAAACAUAAGUUUUAAGUUUGAAAGAUGCAAUUGCAUCACUCAAAGAUGAUCCCGCGUUGUAUUAGCUAGUUGGUGAGGUAAAGGCUCACCAAGGCGAUGAUACAUAGCCGACCUGAGAGGGUGAUCGGCCACAAUGGGACUGGGACACGGCCCAAACUCCCACGGGAGGCAGCAGUAGGGAAUCUUCGGCAAUGGACGAAAGUCUGACCGAGCAACGCCGCGUGAGUGAAGAAGGUUUUCGGAUCGUAAAACUCUGUUGGUAGAGAAGAACGUUGGUGAGAGUGGAAAGCUCAUCAAGUGACGGUAACUACCCAGAAAGGGACGGCUAACUACGUG
rnacentral:rRNA from 1 species